rnacentral:lncRNA from 1 species
UUUUUUAUUUGUCUUUUUGUCUUUUUUGUUUUUCUGUUCACUGAUCGCAGUAAUUUGUUUAGGUUCUUUGGGGACUAUUAAUUGUUGUUCAUCAUCUUCGCUAUCAUCAUUUGAAUCAUCACAACUUUUACUUGUAGGUUGCUUAUCUUUAGUUUCAUCUUGAGCGUUAUCAAUGUUAGCAGCUUCAGGUACACUAUCAGUAACAAUCGAAUCACCAUUCUGAUCUUGAUCUGCUGUUGGAUCGUCCAUCGGUUGUUGACACUCUUUGGCUUUAUGACCUGAUUUGCCACAGGAGUUACACACCCAGUCAUUGUCACAGGUCUCCUGUUUGUGUCCCGUCUGUAAACACUUG